rnacentral:lncRNA from 1 species
UAAUAUAAGGGGAAGAAAAGAAAGAAAAAAGUGCAUGCUAUAACUAACAAUUUUUACGCAGGUGUUUGGCGCAUAUGAUGCAAGUAACAGAAAAUAUGGACUGUUGUGAUUUCUCGAGUGGCCAUAAGACAUGGAUCAAAGGCUUUUGCAUGAAGUGAGGUUCAUGAGUUUCAUUUUCUUUUUCUUUUUGUUCCUUUUUAGUUGAAGAGAAGGGGAGAA